rnacentral:rRNA from 1 species
CCUACGGGCGGCAGCAGUGGGGAAUAUUGGACAAUGGGGGGAACCCUGAUCCAGCCAUGCCGCGUGUGUGAAGAAGGCCCUCGGGUUGUAAAGCACUUUCAGUGAGGAAGAACGCCUGGUGGUUAAUACCCAUCAGGAAAGACAUCACUCACAGAAGAAGCACCGGCUAACUCCGUGCCAGCAGCCGCGGUAAUACGGAGGGUGCGAGCGUUAAUCGGAAUUACUGGGCGUAAAGCGCGCGUAGGUGGCUUGAUAAGCCGGUUGUGAAAGCCCGGGGCUCAACCUGGGAACGGCAUCCGGAACUGUCAAGCUAGAGUGCAGGAGAGGAAGGUAGAAUUCCCGGUGUAGCGGUGAAAUGCGUAGAGAUCGGGAGGAAUACCAGUGGCGAAGGCGGCCUUCUGGACUGAAACUGACACUGAGGUGCGAAAGCGUGGGUAGCAAACAGGAUUAGAUACCCUUGUAGUC